GGGGAUGUAAAGGCUUCGACGGGGUCGCGGAGACUCAGGGAGCGAGCCGCAGCGGGUACUGCGUUAAAAACCCAACUUUUUAAAAUUAAACGCUAACAAUAAUUUAGCUUACGCUGCCUAAUUAACGCAGCUGCCUUCCUGCGGUUACCGCGCCCGCAGAGCAAGGUAUCAUCCAAGCGGUGAACGUGAGCGGGGAAAGCUUUGACCCCGCCAUGAACCUAUGAAGCUACCGUCAUCUCAGGCUUGCUUGUGAGCCUGAGAUGUUCGGGAAUAUCAAUCACAAGCUACGCUCGUAGCGCCCUGUGGGGACGCUUCUUCGGACAGGGGUUCAAUUCCCCUCAUCUCCACCA
rnacentral:tmRNA from 2 species